rnacentral:rRNA from 1 species
GUCUACCGCCAUGGCACCCUGAACAAGACCGAUCUCAUCUGAUCUCAAACCCCUUAAGCAGGGUCGGGCCUGGUUAGUACUUGGAUUGGAGACCACCUAGGAAGACCAGGUGCUGUAGGUG